rnacentral:lncRNA from 1 species
UUGAAAUACUUGCUUCACGUUUGUUCGUGGUAACACCAGAUUUGCAUAAUCAAGUGCUCAAUUUAUUGUCGAACUCGGUGCACUCCCUCCAACUCUUUCUCUUAUUUAAUAUUUUAAUUGCAUAUUUGAUUUUAGCUUAUAUUUUGAUUUUUACAAUAUGUUUAAUGCUGCUAAAAGAGCGUGUAGAAAAGUUACUGGUAGGGGUGGAAGUAAAAAAAGAGGUAGUCCUGUAGCUUCUGGUAGUAAAUUUUUACAAUAUGUUUAGUGCUGCUAAAGAGCGUGUAGAAAAGUUACUGGUAAGGGUGAAAAUAAAAAAAGAGGUAGUCCUGUAUCUUCCGGUAGUAAUAGUAAUGACCCAAUAACACAUGUUUC